rnacentral:lncRNA from 1 species
AACUGUGCGGUCGUUUCCUAUCACUCGACAGUUCCAACUGAGCGUCUUCAUUGACGAUGGUGGGGCGGAUGUUUGGCAUCCACCAUACCUUUCUUUUGAACCGCUUUCGUUUUCCUCACAGCCGCUCCUUGCUGGUGCCCACUCUGUCCUCUCGCACCACUACCAUGUCCUGAUGUUGUCUGUGCAUUUAUCCUUGUUGAAGCCCUACGGCUUACAGCUUGUGACGACGAGAACAAGGAACGCGUAGCACUCCUCUUAUAGCUUUCGCAUAGUCAUCUCCAGCUCCAUCAUCUCCGGAAUUCUCCUUCGCUUCAAUCAAAAGGAUUGAAUUACCAUGUUCUGAAGCAAACAUCGGCUGCGAUAUGUCCUGC